rnacentral:lncRNA from 1 species
GUAAAGUUCAGCUCUGAUUCCCAGGGGCCUAAGAUGGCUGUACUUGGGCUAAUGCUAACCUUGAGGUGGGAUGGCCUUCAUUUUUCUCAGCCUCCACAGUUUAAGUGACAUCACUUGGGGCCUGUGGUUUUGUUUUGUUUCUAUUUAUUUAUUUAAUUUAAUUUAAAGGUUUUAUUUAUUGACUCAUGAGAGACCCACAGAGAGAGGCAGACACACAGGCAGAGGGAGGAGCAGGCCCCCCACCCGGGGAACCAACCCGAUUCUGGGAUCACGACCCGAGCCACCCAGGCGCCCCUGUGGUUCUGAUUUUAACCGGCCUACCUUGUCUUCUCCUUCGCCUGUGGAUUUAUUGCACAACCAAGCACUGUUCACAAAACAAACAACAAAAAGAGAAACGCCUGCGCCUGCGGGCUUCGGAACCAAAGACCCAGAGGAGGUCCUGUAAGCUGCAGGGACCCCUUCCCCCACGACGAAAUGGAGCCACCUGUCCUGCCCUGCCGUGCCAGUGGGUCCCGCGGAGCCCUUCUGAGCCCCGCUCGGCACCAGCCAGCGGCUCGGGCUUGUGUUUGUUCCUAACCAGGCCCGCAGGUGGCCCGGGUUUACUGGAGUUGAUGUAAGGAGCUGAACAGCAUUCAAAGAUUCCCAUAUGGGUUAAUGAGCAAUGACACUCUUCAAAAGAGGUGACAAGAUGAAGAUGACAUAUGCAUUUGCUGGUGUGAUAUUGGGCAGACUCACUUCUUUGCUCUUGUUGAAGAAUGGUCUAUUCCCCAUAAGGACAUGUGUCCUGGAACAUCUGGAUGUCAAUGGCAUCUAGAAUGAAUCUAGACUUUGUAAGGAAGAUCUCAGGUAGGAGACUGGUAGGUAAAAUGGACAAUCAGUAUUAUUUCCAGAUUAAGGUUGCGGCCUCGAAAUUAACUAGGUUACUUUCUAGUUAGGAUCAUAACCCAGAAUCUGCCUGAGCAAGGCAGCGGGGCUAGAGCAGGUCUCACCCUAUUUUGACAAUUCAGGUUUACUUUCAUAGUUUUUGCAUAUCCAGGUCCCUUGUGUAUGAUUGUUUACAUAAUGCAUUUUUAUUUAAAUAAACUUGCUUUUGGUUACCAGAGAUUUGAAUGUGAUUGGUCUGGGAUGUGUCCUGGGAUUUUUAAAAAAAAAAUUUCACUUAAUUCUGUAUGAGCCCAGGUAGAAAACUACUUCUUCAAAGCAAGAAAGGGCAAUCUUGGUGUUUGGGGGAUGAAGAGGGAAUUGAAAAUGAGGAUAGUUAGUGUGAGAGCUGAUACUAUGGGCUCUGGAGUCUGGGUGGGGUGGAUUCUGAAAAUGGGUCUAUUUGGUAGACGCUUGAUUUUAACAUUCUCAUAGGGACAUAUGAUGAGGCCCUGGGCCUGUAAAGAAGGAAAGUUAGAUUUGAGAUACCCACAUAAGUCAGGGCCCUUGAAAAGCCACAUACUUAGUGCUUCCCCUUCCACCUUCACACUGGUGAGGGAGACUGUUUGCCUGCAGCUCUAGGUAGGAAAAACCUCCUAGGAGAAUCCAAAAUUCCAGCUGACAAAUUCACUUUAGAAUUAGUCCCAAACUACCCAAAUAUCUAUUCCUGGGUGAAUGAAUAAACAAAAUGGGGGCACAUACAUGCAAUGGAAUAUUAUUUGGCCUUAAGAAGGAAUGCAAUUAUUUUCAUUUAUUUUCACAAUUGAGAUAUAAUUGACAUAUAACAUGUUUUAGAUGUACAAGGGAUGAAAUUCAGACACAUGGUACAACAUGGAUGAACCUUGAAGAUACUAUGCUAAGUGAAAUAAGCCAAUCACAAAAGGACAGAUGUUGUAUGAUUACACUUAUAUGAGGUACCAAGAAUAGUCAAAUUCAUGGAGACAGAGUUGAACUCAUACAAUGGUGGUUAUCAGGGACUGAGGGAGGAGAGUGGAGAGUUAGUGUUUAAUGGCUAUUGAGUUUCUGUUUGGGAUGAAGCAGUUCUGGAGAUGGAUGGUGAUGAUGGUGGCACAACAAUGUUGAAUGUACUUAGUGCCACUAAACUGUACACUUAAAAGUGGUUUAAAAUGGUAAAUUUAUCAUGUAUAUAUUACCACCAUAAAAAAAAUUGGUCCCAAGUUUAUGAUGCCCCUGGAAUUUUUGGCAGAAUUCAAUAAAAUAUUGUUUGGAGGAACAAUCCUCUUUCCAAAGUGUAUGUGGUUCCCUAUGUUCACUGAAAAUAGGUUCAUAGUAAUAAAUUACAAAAUGGGAAAAUAACCUAUCAUAAAAGAGAUUCAUCAGACAUGAUAAGAAGCAGGAUUGCCACCCCAAGAGUUGAGACAAUUAAGCAAUCUGAAAGAAAAUAAACAGAUAUGUUAGAGAUGAAGAAACAGUAAGAACAUAACAUACUUUUGUGUAAAAUAGCAGCUUAGACACAGCUAAAGAGAAAAUUAGCAAAUGAGAAUACAGAUCUGCAUGAAGCCCAGAACAAAAAAGAGAUGGAAAAUAUGAGAAUGAUGUUAUGAGACAUGAAAGAUGGAAUGAGAAGUUUCACCCUAAAUCGGAAGUUGAUGUUGGCAGUGCCUUGUGCUAACCCUUUCGACCCAUCCGACUAGUGCAGUCGUGGUGGAUAACUCCACGAGUGAUGCCUACAUCCCUUUGUAACCACGUGCCACAAUGUCUCUCUGUUCUAACUCUGGGCUUUUGCCAAUAUUGCAAUAUUGCUUUUUGUCUUCACCCUUUGGUCUGAGGCUCCCUGGCUCCCAUCUCCCCAGCUAGUGAGAUUUUGGAUUAUGUUAGCAGCAUCGGUGAGUAUGCUUGUUUAAGAGCUUCACCUUCAUCUCUCCUUGGUGGGGGAGCGAACAUCUUAACUGCUGUCUACAGAUCAAAUUCCCCUCAUCUCCCCUACUGACUAGAGGGGAGAGGAGAAGUAAUUAUAGCACUGCAGGGACUUGUGCUCUACCUCUCCAGCCUCAGUUUCUGUAUUGAUAAAAUAAAGGGGGUGGGGGGGAGAUUGGCCCACACUGAUGGAUUUUCUGACUCUAACUCAAUGGAAAAAACUUCUGACCACCCUCCCUGGUUUCUCUGCAGUGGUAGCUAGCUACUUUCCAGAACAACACAGGUGAAAAUAACUUCCUCCUCCAUUGUGUCCACGAGGUAGGCCAGGGUGUGGUGGUGACUGUCUCUCCUUUGGUUGCUCCUCCUGUUCCCUUCUCCACUCACCAGGAGGUUGAAAACCAGGCUGAAUCACAGGUUUGCCACAGAAAACAAGAUGUUUAUUUUCUUUCUGGGUUUUGUUUAGAUCAUAGGGUCUAUGGUGGGUGGAUUCUAGUGUUGCUGUUUUCUUCUAAAAAAUUAAAAAGUUUUUAUCAUCACACAAAUUGUAUGGAAACGUCCUUCCAUUACAGAAGAAUUCAGAUAAUGCUAAUAAAGCAGAUCAUUUCCUCGCCUUCAAUUCCAGCUGUCUUUAGAAGAAACACUAUGGUCAUCCAGUGUUUUGCCUUCCCUGC